UACGUAGGGGGCAAGCGUUGUCCGGAGUUACUGGGCGUAAAGCGCACGCAGGCGGUCUCUUAAGUUUGGAGUGACAGUUGGUGGCUUAACUGCCAAAGUGCUUCGAAAACUGAGAGACUUGAGGGCUUCAGAGGGACACGGAAUUCCACGUGUAGCAGUGAAAUGCGUAGAGAUGUGGAGGAACACCGAUGGCGAAGGCAGCCCCCUGGGUCAAGAUUGACGCUCAUGCACGAAAGCGUGGGGAGCAAACAGG
rnacentral:rRNA from 1 species